rnacentral:sRNA from 1 species
GUCAAAAUGAUGAAAGAGCCUUGUUAUAUUUUCUUCAAGUAAACUUUUUGAUAUUCCCCUUCAUCGUAAAAGAAAAAUUUCCGAAAUUUUAAUUAAAAGGACAAGUUUGUCCAAUUUUGUUUUUCAUAGAAGAUAUUGUCAAGAUCAACCCGCAAGAAAAUUUCGUCGAUAUUUGAUUUGUCCAGCAAUUGUGCUCGUAUAUGAAUUUCGUAGAAAAUUUCGUUCACAUUUGAUUUUUGUAUAAAAUUAUAUCGGGGUUAAGAUUUUGGCAAACCAUAUUUCUAUAGCGGAGGCCACCGUAACGUAGAGGUUAGCAUGUCCGCCUCUGACGCUGAACGCCUGAGUUCGAAUCCUGUGAACGUCGGAAAAAAUUUUCAGCAUUGGUUAUCCCCUGUAUGCCCAUUAUAUUUUUCUUAAAAAAUUAUGUCUAAAUUAAGUUAUAUAGAAAACUUUGACAAUAAAUUUUGGUAUAUAUUUGAGUUGCACUAAAUUUUCGAUAUUACAAAAUCGAAUUUUGUAGUGAACUCGUAAAAUGUUGGUUUAUUAUCGCUCCUU